AUUGAACGCUGGCGGCAGGCCUAACACAUGCAAGUCGAGCGAGUGGCGGGCGGGUGAGUAAUGCAUGGGUAUUGCCCAGUCGAGGGGGAUAACAGUUGGAAACGACAGCUAAUACAGCAUACGAAUGGAAUGCCCAGAUGGGAUUAGCCAGUUGGUGAGGUAAUGGCUAACCAAGGGGACGAUCCCUAGCUGGUCUGAGAGGAGGAGCAGACACACUGGAACUGAGACACGGACCGGACUCCGACGGGAGGCAGAGGUGGGGAAUAUUGCACAAGGGGGGAAACCCUGAUGCAGCCAUGCCGCGGGGGUGAAGAAGGCCUUCGGGUUGUAAAGCACGUUCAUCGAGAAGGCGUUACUCACAGAAGAAGCACCGGCUAACUCCGUGCCAGCAGCCGCGGUAAUAC
rnacentral:rRNA from 1 species